UGCUAUUUAGAGGCGGUCGAGGGGUCAAACUUCUACUCUCUUUAAGAGCUCCUCCUCCUCCUCGUCCUAUUGCCAGACAUUCAUUACAUUCAUUACAUUCUCCCUCUUCGUGUUGCAGGGCAUAAAGCCGGACUCGUCCUGAAUCAGGGAGUUUCCCUCCGUUAGACUCUGAGGGAUAAAUUGCAAUAGGAGGAGCAAAGAGAGCAGAAGCCUUUGGAGCUGAAAGCUGCCAACAAACUUGGAUCUGAUUUCUUUACUCUCUGUAACCUGAAGCGCAUAGAGGAAAUAGCACAACAGAAAUAAUUUGUCGAUCUGCUCAUUUACACCUGGCCUGUAGAGAUCAGCAGCAAAGCCAUGCAGAGACCUGAUGGUCACAAGGGUUUCCCACCAACGCUGACAACACAAUCAGUCCCGUUUACGUUCAUGGAUUCGUUUCUUUUCUUUCUUUCGACAAACGAAAGACGAAUAUAAAAGUCUGAAGAGCUUCACAGAUCAAAAUGUCUGCAGUGACGAAAUGUGUUUGAUAUUUCACAAUCAGAAAAUGUUUCAUUUGUUUACAUUUUAUAAUGAAACUGUUUCUGAAAUGAUAAGAUUUCAACACUGGAGAAUCACGAAGCUUCAGAGGCAGAAAAAGUUUCUACGGUUUGCUCCGAGCAGAGCUUCACUGCGGCGGCGUGGGAGGAGUUAAACACGUGACUCCGCCCACAGCUCAACUGGAAGGUCAAGUUCCUGACGUAAUUCAUUUUACCCCUUCAACAGUGAUAAUUCACUGGAUGGUGAUGAAUGUAUGUUGAGACAUUAAAUGAAUGUUUUCUCAUCA